rnacentral:lncRNA from 10 species
AACCUUUGCUGUCUUGGGACGGAUCACCGCUGCAAGAGGGGAAGUUGCUACUGUGAUGAAUUCUGCCAUGUGGCACCAGACUGCCACCCAGACCACAGUGUCCUCUGCAACCCUGGUAACUCACAUACAGGCCCGAUUCCACCUACAGCAAAGCUGGAUGCGAUGGCUGGCAGAGGCAAACCCUUUGCCUGCACUUCAGGCCAAAGCCGGGAUGUGGCCUAGAUGGUUCCUAAGGUCCCUGACAAUCCUGAGAUCUUGCAUCUUGUCUAUUUCAGGUCAAAGCUUCUCAGAUGACCAAGAUGGUGCUGCAGAUGGUGCUGAGGAUGGAGAACCCACCAAGCCCCGCUAGGAGCCACCUAGACUGGAUGCAGAGCAUGGUGAAAAUGGAGGUUUCCUCCUCCUGCGGCUGAGUGUGGCUUCCCCGGAAGACCUCACUGACCCCAGAGUGGCAGAAAGGCUGAUGCAGCAGCUCCACCGGGAACUCCACGCCCACGCGCCUCACUUCCAGGUCUCCUUACUGCGUGUCAGGAGAGGCUAACGGACAUCAGCUGCAGCCAGGCAUGUCCCGUAUGCCAAAAGAGGGUGCUGCCCCUAGCCUGGGCCCCCACCGACAGACUGCAGCUGCGUUACUGUGCUGAGAGGUACCCAGAAGGUUCCCAUGAAGGG